rnacentral:rRNA from 1 species
UACGAAGGGGGCUAGCGUUGCUCGGAUUGACUGGGCGUAAAGGGCGCGUAGGCGGUUCGUACAGUCAGACGUGAAAUUCCCGGGCUCAACCUGGGGGCUGCGUUUGAUACGUGCGGGCUUGAGUUCGGAAGAGGGUCGUGGAAUUCCCAGUGUAGAGGUGAAAUUCGUAGAUAUUGGGAAGAACACCGGUGGCGAAGGCGGCGACCUGGUCCGAUACUGACGCUGAGGCGCGAAAGCGUGGGGAGCAAACAGG